AUGAUUGUAAGGUGUACAUGACUAGCUAGCAGGUGUCAUUUGACAUUGACCUCAUUUUCAUGGUUCAGUGGUCACAGUUAAGUUUUAGUUUUGGUCUUAUUUUCUAAUAAUAUAUGUAAUAUGUCAACUAUAUUUGGUGUAUGGAAAUAUUUUAUGAUCUAUAUGUCAGUUGCUCAGGUUUUAUUUGACUGUGACCUCAUUUUCAUUGUGUCAUCUAACUUUGACCUUAUUUUUAUAGUUCAUUGGUCAAUGUUAAUAAUUUAAAGUUGAUCCAUUGUAUCAGUUACAAGAAGGGACUAGUCAAUUAUAUUAUCAUGUAUUGAAUAAUUAUAAGGUGUCAUUCAUUUUUAUAUUCAUUUAUUGUCGAGCCUGCACCUUUUGUUGCAGAAAGCUCGACAUAGGAAUAGUGAUCCGGCGGCGGCGGCUACGGCGGCGGCGGCUACGGCGGCUACGGCGGCGGCGUUAGCUAACUUCUUAAAAGCUUUAUAUUUUAGAAGGUAGAAGACCUGGAUGCUUCAUACUUUGUAUAUAGAUGCCUCAUGUUACGAAUUUUCCGUCAGUCACAUGUCCAAUGUCCUUGACCUCAUUUUCAUGGUUCAGUGACUUCUUGAAAAAAAAGUUAAGAUUUUUUGUAAUGUUAAAUUCUCUCUUAUUAUAAGUAAUUGGAUAACUAUAUUUGGUAUGUACGUACCUUGCAAGGUCCUCAUUCCCGUCAAACAGUUUUCACUUGACCUCGACCUCAUUUCAUGGAUCAGUGAACAAGGUUAAGUUUUGGUGGUCAAGUCCAUAUCGCAGAUACUAUGAGCAAUAGGUUUAGUAUAUUGGGUGUAUGGAAGGACUGUAAGGUGUACAUGUCCAACUGGCAGGUGUCAUCUGACCUUGACCUCAUUUUCAUGGUUCAGUGGUUAUAGUUAAGUUUUUGUGUUUUGGUCUGUUUUUCUUAUACUAUAUGCAAUAGGUCUACUAUAUUUGGUGUAUGGAAUGAUUGUAAGUUGUACAUGUCUAGCUGACAGGUGUCAUCUGACCUGUACCUCAUUUUCAUGGCUCAGUGGUCAAAGUUAAGUUUUUGAGUUUUGGUCUAUUUUUCUAAUACUUUAUGCAUUAGUCAACUAUAUUUGGUGUAUGGAAAUAUUUUAUGAUUUAUAUGUCUGUUACGCAGGUUUUAUUUGACCUUGACCUCAUUUUCACGGUCUAUUGCUAAGUGUUAAGUGUUUGUGUUUUGGUCUGUUUUUCUUAAUUUAUAAGCAAUAAGUCAACUAUAUUUGUUGUAUUGAAGAAUUGUUAGCUGUACAUGUCUGCCUGGCAUUGUUCAUCUGACCUUGACCUCAUUUAAUGGUUCAUUGAUCAAUGUUUCGUUUUCUUUGGUUAAUGUUGAGUUUAUGUGACAGUUGUAAUAAAGCUUUAUAUUUAGGUCUAUCAACAUAAUAUCAAUGAUUAGUAAAGAAGGCGAGACAUUUCAG
rnacentral:lncRNA from 1 species